rnacentral:rRNA from 1 species
AGGAAUCUGCCUAGUAGUGGGGGACAACCUGGUGAAAACCAGGCUAAUACCGCAUACGACCUACGGGUGAAAGCAGGGGAUCUUCGGACCUUGCGCUAUUAGAUGUGCCUAUGUCUGAUUAGUUAGUUGGUGAGGUAAUGGCUCACCAAGGCCGCGAUCAGUAGCUGGUCUGAGAGGAUGAUCAGCCACACUGGGACUGAGACACGGCCCAG